rnacentral:rRNA from 1 species
AGAGUUUGAUCAUGGCUCAGAGCGAACGUUAGCGGCGCGCUUAACACAUGCAAGUCGCACGAGAAAGGGCUUCGGCCCCGGUACAGUGGCGCACGGGUGAGUAACACGUGGGUGACCUUCCCUCGAGUGGUGGAUAACCUGCCGAAAGGCGGGCUAAUACAGCGUACGAUCCGGGCUCUGCGGAGUCGGGAUGAAAGCAGGCCUCUGUGUACACGCUUGCGCUCGAGGAUGGGCCCGCGUCCCAUCAGCUAGUUGGCGAGGUAACGGCUCACCAAGGCGACGACGGGUAGCUGGUCUGAGAGGAUGGCCAGCCACACUGGAACUGAGACACGGUCCAGACUCCUACGGGAGGCAGCAGUGGGGAAUCUUGCGCAAUGGUCGAAAGACUGACGCAGCGACGCCGCGUGGGCGACGAAGGCCUUCGGGUUGUAAAGCCCUGUGGGGCGGGACGAACACCCGGGACUCGAAUAGGGUUCCGUGCUGACGGUACCGCCUUAGCAAGCACCGGCUAACUCUGUGCCAGCAGCCGCGGUAAGACAGAGGGUGCAAACGUUGCUCGGAAUUACUGGGCGUAAAGCGCGUGUAGGCGGUGCCGCACGUCCGAUGUGAAAGCCCGGGGCUCAACCCCGGAAGUGCAUUGGAUACGACGGCGCUGGAGUCCUGAAGAGGAGGGCGGAAUUCCCGGUGUAGAGGUGAAAUUCGUAGAUAUCGGGAGGAACACCAGUGGCGAAGGCGGCUCUCUGGACAGGUACUGACGCUGAGACGCGAAAGCGUGGGUAGCAAACAGGAUUAGAUACCCUGGUAGUCCACGCCGUAAACGAUGAGCACUGGGUGUCGCGGGUAUUGACCCCCGCGGUGCCGAAGCCAACGCGUUAAGUGCUCCGCCUGGGAAGUACGGCCGCAAGGCUAAAACUCAAAUGAAUUGACGG